rnacentral:rRNA from 1 species
GACGAACGCUGGCGGCGUGCUUAACACAUGCAAGUCGAACGAAGUGGCGAACGGGUGAGUAACGCGUAAUCAACAUGCACUUCAGAGGGGGAAAACAGUUGGAAACGACUGCUAAUACCGGAUACUGAAGGAGGGGAUUGCGUCUGAUUAGCUCGUUGGAGGGGUAACGGCCCACCAGGGCGAUGAUCAGUAGCCGGUCUGAUAGGAUGAACGGCCACAUUGGGACUGAGACACGGCCCAGACUCCUACGGGAGGCAGCAGUGGGGAAUUUUGGACAAUGGGCGCAAGCCUGAUCCAGCCAUGCCGCGUGUCUGAAGAAGGCCUUCGGGUUGUAAAGGACUUUUGUCAGGGAAGCGGUACCUGAAGAAUAAGCACCGGCUAACUACGUGCCAGCCGCCGCGGUAAUUC